UACGAAGGGGGCUAGCGUUGCUCGGAAUCACUGGGCGUAAAGCGCACGUAGGCGGAUUGUUAAGUCAGGGGUGAAAUCCUGGAGCUCAACUCCAGAACUGCCUUUGAUACUGGAGAGCUUGAGUCCGGGAGAGGUGAGUGGAACUCCGGAGUGUAGAGGUGAAAUUCGUAGAUAUUACGGAAGAACACCAGUGGCGAAGGCGGCU
rnacentral:rRNA from 1 species